rnacentral:rRNA from 1 species
AUUUUGGGGAGAAUGGAUUAAUCUCUGUUUUUCACGGGAUAACUCUGGCAAUGUUUUACCUAUUUUACUUUGAAAAAAUUAGAGUGUUCAAAGCAAGGCGUUUUUGCCUAUUGAAUAUUGCAGCAUGGGAUAAUAGAAAAAGAUAGUCCGUCUUAUUUUGUUGGUUUUUUAAGAUGACAAUAAUGAUAGAAGGGGAUGGUUGGGGCGGUCUGUAUUGCCACGUCAGAGGUGAAAUUCUUAGAUUGUGGCAAGACAAACAACUGCGAAAGCAUUCCGCUAGGACAUAUUCAUCAAUCAAGAACGAAAGUUGGGGGAUCGAAGACGAUCAGAUACCGUCGUAGUCUCAACCAUAAACAAUGCCGACCAAGGAUUGGAGAUUGUUAAAUUUUAAUGACUUCCCCAGCACUUUGCGAGAAAUCACAAGUCUUUGGGUUCCGGGGGGAGUAUGGUCGCAAGGCUGAAACUUAAAGGAAUUGACGGAAGGGCACCACCAGGCGUGGAACUUGCGGCUUAAUUUGACCCAACACGGGAAAACUUACCAGGUCCAGACAGCGUUAGGAUUGACAGAUUGAGAGCUCUUUCAUAAUUCGUUGGGUGGUGGUGCAUGGCCGUUCUUAGUUGGUGGUGUGAAUUGUCUGGUUGAUUCCGUUAACGAACGAGACCUUGACUUACUAAAUAGCAGCUGGAAGAUAUUGCAUUAAGGCUAUGGAUCGGUAUUUUCGGAAGGGUCAGUCCCCCGGAGAUAGUUGUUUCCAUGGUUGCUUUUUUUCCAGAAAGCUUCUUAGAGGGACUAUUAGUGACAAGCUAAUGGAAGUUCGAGGCAAAAACAGGUCUGUGAUGCCCUUCGAUGUUCUGGGCCGCACGCGUGUUACUCUGAUAAAGUCAACGAGUUUAGAACCUUCUCUGAGAGGAGUGGGUAAUCUUUUCAAACUUUAUCGUGAUGGGGAUAGAUGAUUGCAAUUAUUCAUCUUCAACGAGGAAUGCCUAGUAAGCGCGAUUCAUCAUAUCGCGUUGACUGCGUCCCUGCCCUUUGUACACACCGCCCGUCGCUCCUACCGAUUGAAUGCUCCGGUGAAAUCUUCGGAUUGUGAGAAGCUAACUUUUGCUGACUUUGUCGGCAAAGACUCUUGUAAAAAGUUGAUUAAAUCUUAGCAUUU